AAGGAAAAACAGCCAGGAAAAGUAUUUCAUACAUCGAAUUUCGAGGAGAAUAUUCGUAAUCUGUGGGAACAUUUGAAAAUGCAUAACACGCUCAACUGGGAGGUUACUGUAAGGUGAAUUGGGCGAAGCAGUAAGUUUUUUCUUCAAUUGUUGAGCGAAGCAAAAGUCUCAAAAUCCAUUGAUGGAAGCCAAUGAAGCUCAAUUGCCGACUUCUCCAUCAAGUUUCAAUUUCAGCCAGCAACGUCAUUUCUAUCUAGCCGUCGAUAGACUUCACUUCAAAAUGGAGACUUUGGUGGAUCUGUUAGGUAUGGCUGGGCGGCUACGGUGCCUACCUAUUGUAGUUAGUUGCAGCACACGUGACGAGCUCGACGCUGUCUGCUCCGCCCUUUCCAGUCUCUCACAUACUACAAUCGCCGCUCUGUACAGUGAUCUUGCUGAAGCGGAACGUGCAGCGGUUUUAGCUAGGUUUCGACAGGCUACAAUGAGGUGGAACAAGCAGGCUACAGCUGAACAUGGACAUGCAGGGGAAACAGAGAAGGAAGAGGAGAAAUCUCAUUUGGUAGUUGUCACGGAUGCUUGCCUUCCCCUUGUAAACUCCGGGGAGUCACCUAUUAAUGCUCGUGUCUUGAUUAAUUAUGAGCUACCAACAAAGAAGGUUCACUCUUAUAUGUGCAUAAGACGUGAGAUGCUAGAUAAGCAUAUCAAGAAGGAAACAUAUAUGAGGCGCAUGGCUACUUGUUUGGCAGCAGAUGGAAUUGUGAUCAACAUGGUUGUUGGAGGCGAAGUUGUUACUCUCAAAAGCAUUGAAGAAAGUAGUGGCCUUCUCAUAGCAGAAAUGCCCAUCAAUAUUUUUGAGAUGCUGUGAAGAUAUGAGGCCCUGCAAAUGUCAUCUGAACAAAUGAGAUUUCAAGUAAUUAGAUUGUCUGAAGCCAAAUAAGUUCAUUGGGAUUUUUCCAAGAAGAUUUUGGAAUUGGCCUACUCAGGCCCAGAUCAAUGAAUUGGUUGCAAGAUGUGGAGCAUAUUUUUUUGGUCUAGCGUUUAGUCCCCACACUGUUGACAGGUUACUUUUGUGUCUGCUUUGAAGAUAAAGACACCCAUUAAAAUCUUGUCUCCAAGAGAGAUUGUAGCGACUAUGGAGAUGGAGAAAUAGGUAUAUGUACGCAGAGUUGGAAGAUAUUACUAAGAAGAAAGAAGCAAAACAAGGCUAUUAAAAAACAAGACUAUUUUUGUGGGAAGGUAAGAUGUAUUUUUCUCCAGGUCGUUUUCUUUUCCCUAGUCGAUGUCUAAUCUCACAUACAGUUAGAUCCCCUGAAUUGUACUCGAAUAAAGUUUUAUGCCCAAUUGGCUAUAAUAUUCUUGAUACACCUUGCAAAAUGACUGAUUGCAACAUGCCA